rnacentral:rRNA from 1 species
GAUGAUGACGGUACCCGUAGAAGAAGCCCCGGCUAACUUCGUGCCAGCAGCCGCGGUAAUACGAAGGGGGCUAGCGUUGCUCGGAAUGACUGGGCGUAAAGGGCGCGUAGGCGGUUUGGUGAGUUAGACGUGAAAUUCCUGGGCUCAACCUGGGGACUGCGUUUAAUACCGCCAGACUUGAGUGAGGAAGAGGGUUGUGGAAUUCCCAGUGUAGAGGUGAAAUUCGUAGAUAUUGGGAAGAACACCGGUGGCGAAGGCGGCAACCUGGUCCUUGACUGACGCUGAGGCGCGAAAGCGUGGGGAGCAAACAGGAUUAGAUACCCUGGUAGUCCACGCUGUAAACGAUGUGUGCUGGAUGUUGGGGAACUUAGUUUUUCAGUGUCGUAGCU